CAAAUAAAUAUUUAUUUGCCGUAGACCGUUGGUGCCUGAGUGCUUAAUGGGAAACCGCCAACCGAGGCAAGGCUUAAGGAAGAAAAACCCAAGGCCGCCGUGUGUCUACGGCGGCCUUAAUUGCUUUCGAG
rfam:Carboxydothermus hydrogenoformans Z-2901, complete genome.